rnacentral:rRNA from 1 species
GUAAUGCUUAGGAAUCUGCCUAUUAGUGGGGGACAACAUCUCGAAAGGGAUGCUAAUACCGCAUACGUCCUACGGGAGAAAGCAGGGGAUCUUCGGACCUUGCGCUAAUAGAUGAGCCUAAGUCGGAUUAGCUAGUUGGUGGGGUAAAGGCCUACCAAGGCGACGAUCUGUAGCGGGUCUGAGAGGAUGAUCCGCCACACUGGGACUGAGACACGGCCCAGACUCCUACGGGAGGCAGCAGUGGGGAAUAUUGGACAAUGGGGGGAACCCUGAUCCAGCCAUGCCGCGUGUGUGAAGAAGGCCUUAUGGUUGUAAAGCACUUUAAGCGAGGAGGAGGCUACUUUAGUUAAUACCUAGAGAUAGUGGACGUUACUCGCAGAAUAAGCACCGGCUAACUCUGUGCCAGCAGCCGCGGUAAUACAGAGGGUGCGAGCGUUAAUCGGAUUUACUGGGCGUAAAGCGUGCGUAGGCGGCUUAUUAAGUCGGAUGUGAAAUCCCCGAGCUUAACUUGGGAAUUGCAUUCGAUACUGGUGAGCUAGAGUAUGGGAGAGGAUGGUAGAAUUCCAGGUGUAGCGGUGAAAUGCGUAGAGAUCUGGAGGAAUACCGAUGGCGAAGGCAGCCAUCUGGCCU